GAUGAACGCUGGCGGCGUGCCUAAUACAUGCAAGUCGAGCGAACGGACGAGAAGCUUGCUUUUCUGAUGUUAGCGGCGGACGGGUGAGUAACACGUGGAUAACCUACCUAUAAGACUGGGAUAACUUCGGGAAACCGGAGCUAAUACCGGAUAAUAUUUUGAACCGCAUGGUUCAAAAGUGAAAGACGGUCUUGCUGUCACUUAUAGAUGGAUCCGCGCUGCAUUAGCUAGUUGGUAAGGUAACGGCUUACCAAGGCAACGAUGCAUAGCCGACCUGAGAGGGUGAUCGGCCACACUGGAACUGAGACACGGUCCAGACUCUACGGGAGGCAGCAGUAGGGAAUCUUCCGCAAUGGGCGAAAGCCUGACGGAGCAACGCCGCGUGAGUGAUGAAGGUCUUCGGAUCGUAAAACUCUGUUAUUAGGGAAGUACAUAUGUGUAAGUAACUGUGCACAUCUUGACGGUACCUAAUCAGAAAGCCACGGCUAACUACGUG
rnacentral:rRNA from 1 species